GCUAAACGCGAAGAACCUUACCCAGGCUUGACAUGCAGUAGACAGCGCCAGAGAUGGCGUCUUCCUUCGGGACUGCUGCACAGGUGCUGCAUGGCCGUCGUCAGCUCGUGCCGUGAGGUGUUGGGUUAAGUCCCGCAAUGAGCGCAACCCUUAUCGUUAGUUGCCAACAUUUUAGGUGGGAACUCUAAUGAGACUGCCUGGGUUAACCAGGAGGAAGGUGAGGAUGACGUCAAGUCCGCAUGGCCCUUAUGUCUGGGGGCUACACACGUGCUACAAUGGCCGGUACAAAAGGCAGCGAAACCGUGAGGUGGAGCAAAUCCCCAAAGCCGGCCCCAGUUCAGAUUGUAGUCUGCAACUCGACUACAUGAAGAUGGAAUUGCUAGUAAUGGCGAGUCAGCAACAUCGCCGUGAAUACGUUCCCGGGUCUUGUACACACCG
rnacentral:rRNA from 1 species